GAUCACUGGACUGUCAUCCUAAUAUGAAAAUUUGUCUCUCUGGCAAAGUUUAUGGUAGAAACUGAACAUGUUAAAGUAGUCCAAGAGUACCUAUCUACAUGUUCUUUGAUAAUAUUUGUAUUCUGUCCUAGUUGAGUUGCUUCUUGAAAGAAAAAAUGAUACCAGGAAACUAGAAAAUUCAAAGACUUUGCUUGUUGCUGCAUUUUUACUUCUGCAUACACAAGGAAAACAGAAGGAUCAAUCUUCUCUACUUUUCCUGCCUAGCGGCCCUUGCCCUGCAUUGACAUGCCCGGCCCCGUCAAAGUUCUCUUUUAUUUUUCUUUUCUUCUUUUCAUUGUUAUUUAUUUAGUUGUAAAAUAUCUUCCUUUACUAUUUAUUUUGAUAUGUAUACAUCUGGAUAAUAUCACAACUUCUUCUGUUAAUUACUUUUGUUGGUUACCUUUACUUUUUGUUGUCUUAUAAAGUGUUAAAUAUGUCUCUAAUCUUAUAGCUUUGAAAAUUUUGUAGGUGAUAUUGUUUCACACUAAUCUAUUUUUUCAAUGGAUAAGUCUUGGAUUAGAAUGCCGAGGCACACACCAGAAUAUUUACUUGGUUUGAAUUAAUUUAUAGAGUUUGCAUUUAAUAAUGGAGCUAUAAGAGAUAGAACAAUUUGCGGGGUUCUUUGCUUCUCCUCCUACAACGCCUAGAGAUGCAGCUAGUGGAUCCCUAUCACCCAUGGGUGCAAGAAGAUCAUCUGAUGGCAGUAAUCCAAGUGACAACAAUUGAAGUUCUUUGUAAUUGAAUUAGAUAAUUAAUUAUGACAAUGUAAUUAUGUGAUUGGAGCGAAUGUUAGAAUGGCUAGGGUGAAUGUUUUAUGUUAAAAUUUAGUUUGACGCUACUAUAUGCAGCUAGAAACAUUGCUAAAUCUGCUUUGAGCAUUUUUGUAGUAGCCCCAUCAUUUAUAUAUGAAAGUAAUACUUUUGUGA